rnacentral:rRNA from 1 species
ACGAAGGGGGCUAGCGUUGUUCGGAAUUACUGGGCGUAAAGGGCGCGUAGGCGGUCCGAUAAGUCAGAUGUGAAAGGCCUGAGCUUAACUUGGGAACUGCAUUUGAUACUGUUGGACUAGAGAGUGAGAGAGGAAAGUGGAAUUGCGAGUGUAGAGGUGAAAUUCGUAGAUAUUCGCAAGAACACCAGUGGCGAAGGCGGCUUUCUGGCUCACAACUGACGCUAAGGCGCGAAAGCGUGGGGAGCAAACAGGA